CUCCAGUGCCCUGCAAACCCUCAAUGAAAGACACAGUCUGCUUUCAAAGAAUUAAAACGGCUCAACUUCAAAGAGUGGCGUUGCUUAGAGUCACCUGGUGCCACUGUCUCGGUGCCUCCUGUCUGGAGAGAGUCUGGGAGCCGCUGCUUACCACCAUCUCCUGCCCUCCUAACCCGUCGCUGGAUACAUUACGGUUACCUGGGCAGAGCAGGGAGAGACCAGAGGAGACAAUGUUUAGCCUGAAUUAGCUAUUUACUGGAGCUGAACAUGGAGUGAAAGAAGUGAGCUACAUAAUGUCUGUCUUGAGCCAACUUCCAACACAAGGGCACUGAGCGGAGAGGUGGCACGGCAAUGUUUCAUCUUCUUGUUAUCGUGAAUUAAAGACUCCAGCAGAAGUCCUUCAUCUGGAAAAUAAUGUCUCGAGGGAGUCUUCAAGUUCAAGAAAGGUAUUUCCAAGAAGAUGUAGGAAUAAAGAAAAGCAGAUGCUGACCA
rnacentral:lncRNA from 1 species